GUAACAGAGAGUAGCUUGCUACUUUGCUGACGAGCGGCGGACGGGUGAGUAAUGCUUGGGAACAUGCCUUGAGGUGGGGGACAACAGUUGGAAACGACUGCUAAUACCGCAUAAUGUCUACGGACCAAAGGGGGCUUCGGCUCUCGCCUUUAGAUUGGCCCAAGUGGGAUUAGCUAGUUGGUGAGGUAAUGGCUCACCAAGGCGACGAUCCCUAGCUGGUUUGAGAGGAUGAUCAGCCACACUGGGACUGAGACACGGCCCAGACUCCUACGGGAGGCAGCAGUGGGGAAUAUUGCACAAUGGGCGCAAGCCUGAUGCAGCCAUGCCGCGUGUGUGAAGAAGGCCUUCGGGUUGUAAAGCACUUUCAGUCAGGAGGAAAGGUUAACGGUUAAUACCCGUUAGCUGUGACGUUACUGACAGAAGAAGCACCGGCUAACUCCGUGCCAGCAGCCGCGGUAAUACGGAGGGUGCGAGCGUUAAUCGGAAUUACUGGGCGUAAAGCGUACGCAGGCGGUUUGUUAAGCGAGAUGUGAAAGCCCCGGGCUCAACCUGGGAACUGCAUUUCGAACUGGCAAACUAGAGUGUGAUAGAGGGUGGUAGAAUUUCAGGUGUAGCGGUGAAAUGCGUAGAGAUCUGAAGGAAUACCGAUGGCGAAGGCAGCCACCUGGGUCAACACUGACGCUCAUGUACGAAAGCGUGGGGAGCAAACGGGAUUAGAUA
rnacentral:rRNA from 1 species